CCUACGCGAGGCAGCAGUGGGGAAUAUUGGGCAAUGGGCGCAAGCCUGACCCAGCAACGCCGCGUGAAGGAAGAAGGCCCUCGGGUUGUAAACUUCUUUUAUCAGGGACGAAACAAAUGAUGGUACCUGAUGAAUAAGCCACGGCUAACUACGUGCCAGCAGCCGCGGUAAUACGUAGGUGGCAAGCGUUAUCCGGUUUUACUGGGUGUAAAGGGCGUGUAGGCGGGAGAGCAAGUCAGACGUGAAAUUCCAGGGCUCAACCCUGGAACUGUGUUUGAUACUGUUCUUCUUGAGUGAUGGAGAGGCAGGCGGAAUUCCGUGUGUAGCGGUGAAAUGCGUAGAUAUACGGAGGAACACCAGUGGCGAAGGCGGCCUGCUGGACAUUAACUGACGCUGAGGCGCGAAAGCGUGGGGAGCAAACAGGAUUAGAUACCCUUGUAGUC
rnacentral:rRNA from 1 species